rnacentral:lncRNA from 1 species
CACUCACACCACUAUAGCAUCGAGAAGAUCACUGAUGAGUGAGCAGAUAUCCAAGUGAUUUCUGAUGAUGGUCACGCUUAGUGUAAGUUGUUCUCUAACAACUACCUACACUCUCACCCUAGUAUCCCCACACUACAGACUCGAGACUCAUCAGUCCCAAAGGGAGGUGAUCCGUGCAUCGAUUUAACUGGAUCGAUCACUAUCCUCCAUGAUGAUCCUUC